rnacentral:rRNA from 1 species
GAGUUUGAUCGUGGCUCAGGACGAACGCUGGCGGUAUGCCUAAUACAUGCAAGUCGAGCGCAGGAAGCAGACUGAAGCCUUCGGGUGGAUGUCUGUGGAAUGAGCGGCGGAUGGGUGAGUAUCACGUGGGUAACCUGCCUGUAAGCUUGGGAUAACUCCGGGAAACCGGUGCUAAUACCAGAUAAGAUUUCCGUUCGCAUGAACGGAAAAUGAAAGGCGGCUUUUGCUGUCACUUACAGAUGGACCCCGCGUCGCAUUAGCUAGUUGGUGGGGUAAAGGCUCACCAAAGCAACGAUGCGUAGCCGACCUGAGAGGGUGAUCGGCCACACUGGGACUGAGACACGGCCCAGACUCCUACGGGAGGCAGCAGUAGGGAAUCUUCCGCAAUGGACGAAAGUCUGACGGAGCGAAUACCGCGUGAGUGAUGAAGGUCUUCGGAUCGUAAAACUCUGUUGUAAGAAGAGCAAGUGCUAAUCUAAUACAUUAGUGCCUGACGUACUAACCAGAAA